rnacentral:rRNA from 1 species
UGGGGAAUAUUGCACAAUGGGCGCAAGCCUGAUGCAGCCAUGCCGCGUGUGUGAAGAAGGCCUUCGGGUUGUAAAGCACUUUCAGUUGUGAGGAAAGGUUAGUAGUUAAUACCUGCUAGCUGUGACGUUAGCAACAGAAGAAGCACCGGCUAACUCCGUGCCAGCAGCCGCGGUAAUACGGAGGGUGCGAGCGUUAAUCGGAAUUACUGGGCGUAAAGCGUACGCAGGCGGUUGAUUAAGCGAGAUGUGAAAUCCCUGGGCUUAACCCAGGAACUGCAUUUCGAACUGGUCAACUAGAGUAUGAGAGAGGGUGGUAGAAUUUCAGGUGUAGCGGUGAAAUGCGUAGAGAUCUGAAGGAAUACCGAUGGCGAAGGCAGCCACCUGGUUCAAUACUGACGCUCAUGUACGAAAGCGUGGGGAGCAAACAGG